rnacentral:rRNA from 1 species
UACGUAGGUGGCAAGCGUUGUCCGGAUUUACUGGGCGUAAAGGGCGUGCAGGCGGUCUGUUAAGUGCAGGGUGAAAGCUCCCGGCUCAACUGGGAGAGGUCCUUGCAUACUGGCGGACUUGAGGGGGGUAGAGGAAAGUGGAAUUCCCGGUGUAGUGGUGAUAUGCGUAGAUAUCGGGAGGAACACCGGUGGCGAAGGCGGUUCUCUGGGCUGGAACUGACGCUGAGGCGCGAGGGCUAGGGGAGCAAACAGG